rnacentral:rRNA from 1 species
GACGUAGGGGGCCAGCGUUGCUCGGAAUUACUGGGCGUAAAGGGUUCGUAGGCGGUGUGGCAAGUCGGGAGUGAAAUCUCUGGGCUCAACCCAGAGUCUGCUUCCGAAACUGCCGUGCUUGAGUGUGGGAGAGGCGCGUGGAAUUGCAGGUGUAGCGGUGAAAUGCGUAGAUAUCUGCAGGAACACCAGUGGCGAAAGCGGCGCGCUGGACCCCUACUGACGCUGAGGAACGAAAGCUAGGGGAGCAAACAGG